GUGAUAUUACGAUUUUUAGAGCUAUGAAGUUACUACUGUUGAUAGUUCUGCUGGCAGUCGAGUCAUUUGCUAUCGACUUUACAAAUAUUGGUCAGAAAGAGAUUGUUGAUUACAUCAAGAAUAGGGCUGAUGUACUUUAUGGAGCCAAGUUGAGUGAACGAAACCUUCAGGAUUUGUUAAGCAGUGCUGUUUUCACUGGACUCGAAGAGGAAGCGUUAACAUUUGCUUAUGGCAAAUCAGUCGGAUCUGAAAUUAUACCCGAUGUUGAGGUUAACCCAAAAGAUUUACUAACCGGAUUAACUGCACUGGUUUCUGAUUCAACAACUGAAUCUGUUCCAUUGAAGAUAUUUUUAACUUCAGAUUCACAAGGAACAACAGACAUUCAAAUGGGUACUCUGACUACUAACCUGUGGGAAGAAAUUAUGUUACAAAUUUUUGUUACUAAGUCAUCUUCAAGUAAACAAUCUGUUGGUGAUUUUGUUGUCACAAGUGUACAAUCGGAAAAUAACGAUGUGACUAAUCUGGAUGGUUCUAUUACUAUUAAUUUAGGAGGUUCAAC
rnacentral:lncRNA from 1 species